rnacentral:lncRNA from 1 species
GACACGAAAAAUUCGCAAAAAAAAGAAAAAGUGUAAGUCCAAAAACACAAACCUCACAUUACCAUCCCCAUAUCUAUUCAAAACUCGCACCCCUUAAAAAACCGAAAGUACGCCCAUGACAAAGUUAAAAUCGGUACAAAAAUUCUCAAAAAAUUUUAAAAGCUUAUUUAAAGAAGCGCAUACCUCAUAUUGUUACUUACACACAUAUACAAAAGUCGCUCCCCUUACAAAAACCAAAACGACGCCACUGACAGCGUUAAAACCGUCACGAAAAUUCGCAAAAAAUUCAAAAAUCUUAUCCAAAAGCAGAAAUCUCAUUUUAUGUUUUUUUUUUCUUAAAUUUCAUACCUAUACAAAACUUGCACCCCUAAAAAAUCCGUAACCACGCCACUGACCGAGUUAAAAUUGACACGAAAAAUUCGCAAAAAAUUCAAGAAGCCUAAUUUCAAAAAACAAACCUCAUUUUCUUAUUUUUGUUGGAAAUAUCCCUAUUUUUGCCCCCUUUUUCAUCCUCAUGGAUACGCCUCUGAACCAAACUUGGUUUUUCGAAACCGCCACAUCAAAACAUUAAUAACUAUAAAACUUUGGUUAAAAUCGAAGCCAUAGGAGCGGAGCUAUAUCAUUUUUUCCGUUUUUUUUUAAUUUUUUUUCUUUUUAUUUUUUUUUUCGACAUUUCCCAUCAAAAAUUGAAAAUUUGGAAAAACUUCUAUUUUUCACCUCGCCGAUGCGCAAAUUUUGAUGCCUCACGCGAUUCGAUUCGUUUCGCCAUAAGGACGCUACCGGGGCGUAAAGUCAAAAAGUUGACCCCCCUUUGGUAGCCACCCCCGCCCUUACCGUAGUUGAGGGAACGCCAUUCGCAGUUGCCUGGCACGUAAGAACUGUGAAAUAUUUUGGCCAUUUCAAAAAUUUUACAAAAUUUUAAAAACUCUGCGUACACGAGGGAUGAGUUUGCCAUUUUUGGCCAUUUCUUCAAAUUUCCCCUUUGCGAAUUUUUUGUGCCGCCCCUGUUCCAUCUAGCAGGCUCCAUUCGAAAAUCACACUUAUUCCUAACGCUUAGCGUCAAAACAUGCUAAAAUUUUAUUGCGUUCGACUAACCCACCCCCCUCCCCUAUAAAAAACUCGCUCCCCUUAAAAAAAAUAAAGUACGCCCAUGGGAGGUAUGAAUUUUGCACGAAAAAAUCACAAAAAAUUUAGAAAGCUUAAGUCCAAACGCACAAACCUCCCCGGUCAAAUGCACCCGAUUUACGUCCAUCUGAAUAUGUUUUUCAAUUUUUUUCUUCAAUCCCUUAGUAGGAGAUUUUUUUGUGACGCCCCUGUUCGAGGUAGAGCACCCCGGUCAAAAGUGGCACUUAUUCCUAACCCUUAGCUUCCGAACCCGUCCAACUUUUUUCGGAUUCCACCAACCCACCUCCGACCCCUAUGGAAAACUCGCUCCCCUUAAAAAAAAAAGAAAGUACGCCCCUGGGAGGGAUUAACUUUCCACAAAAAAAUAGGGAAAAAUUUAGAAAGCUUAAGUCCAAAAGCACAGACCUCCCCGGUCAAAAGCACCCGAUUAAUGUCCAUCUGAAAUUUUUUGUCCAUUUUUUGCCCUUUUUCCCUUCAACCCGCAAAUUCGAGAUUUUUUUGUGACGCCCCUGUUCGAGCUAGCGUCCCCGGGACAAAAGUGACACUUAUUCCUAACCCUUGGCUUUAAAACCCAAUGAAAUUUUUUCGCCUUAGACAAUCUCACCCCCAAUCCCUAAGCAAAACUCGUACCCCUUAAAAAUUCCGAAAGCACGCCCCUGACUGAAUCCAAAUCCCCACCAAAAAUCAUCGAAAAAUUCAAAAAGCUUAACCCAAAAA